ACGGGAGGCAGCAGUGGGGAAUAUUGGGCAAUGGGCGGAAGCCUGACCCAGCAACGCCGCGUGAAGGAAGAAGGUUUUCGGAUUGUAAACUUCUGUCCUCAAUGACGAAAACAAUGACGGUAAUUGAGGAGGAAGCCCCGGCUAACUACGUGCCAGCAGCCGCGGUAAUACGUAGGGGGCAAGCGUUGUCCGGAAUGACUGGGCGUAAAGGGCGUGUAGGCGGUUUUUUAAGUCUGGAGUGAAAGUCCUGCUUUCAAGGUGGGAAUUGCUUUGGAGACUGGAAGACUUGAGUGCGGAAGAGGUAAGUGGAAUUCCCAGUGUAGCGGUGAAAUGCGUAGAGAUUGGGAGGAACACCAGUGGCGAAGGCGACUUACUGGGCCGUAACUGACGCUGAGGCGCGAAAGCGUGGGGAGCGAACAGGAUUAGAUACCCUGGUA
rnacentral:rRNA from 1 species